UCUUCUGUGAUGAUUAACACAGUGACUUUCGUUCUUCUGAGUCUCCUGAAGCCAGCUUUCUGUCCUGAGAAGA
rnacentral:snoRNA from 1 species